GACGAAGGAUGCAAGCGUUAUCCGGAUUCAUUGGGUUUAAAGGGAGCGUAGGCGGCCUUGUAAGUCAGUGGUGAAAUCUUCCCGCUUAACGGGAAAACUGCCAUUGAUACUGCUUGGCUUGAGUACAGAUGCUGUGGGCGGAAUAUGACAUGUAGUGGUGAAAUACAUAGAGAUGUCAUAGAACACCGAUUGCGAAGGCAGCUCACAAAACUGUAACUGACGCUGAGGCUCGAAAGUGUGGGGAUCAAACAGG
rnacentral:rRNA from 1 species